CUUAUGUCUUUGAUGUUUAUUCCCUGCUCUUAUUGUUUAUUCCUGCUCUUAUUGUUUUCCCUGCUCUAUUGUUUUAUUCCCUGCUCGUAUUGUUUAUUCCCUGCUCUUAUUGUUUAUUCCCUGCUCUUAUUGUUUAUUAUUCCCUGCUCUUAUUGUUUGUUCCCUGCUCUUAUUGUUUGUUCCCUGCUCUUAUUGUUUAUUCCCUGUUCUUAUUGUUUAUCCCUGCUCUUAUUGUUUAUUCCUGCUCUAUGUUAUUCCUGUCUUGUUAUUCCCUGCUCUUAUUGUUUAUUCCCUCCUCUUAUUGUUUAUAGUCUCCUCUUAUUGUUUAUUCCUCUCUUAUUAUUAUAUUCCUCCUCUUAUUUUAUCCCUCCUCAUGUUCUUAUUGUUUUAUUUCCCUGCUCUUAUGUUUAUUCCCUCCUCUUAUUGUUUAUUCCCUCCUCUAUUUGUUUAUUCCCUGCUCUUAUUGUUUAUUCCCUCGCUCUAUUGUUUCUUCCUUCCUCUUAUUGUUUUAUCCCUCCUCUUAUUGUUUAUUCCCUGUUCUUAUUGCUUUUCCUUUCUUAUUGUUUAUUCCCUCCUCUAUUGUUUAUUCCCUCCUCUUAUGUUUAUUCCCUCCUCUUAUUGUUUAUUCCCUGCUCUUAUUGUUUAUUCCCUGCUCUUUUGUGUAUUCCCUGUUCUUAUUGUUUAUUCCCUGCUCUUAUGUUAUUCCCUGUUCUUAUUGUUUAUUCCUGCUCUUAUUGUUUAUUCCCUGUUCUUAUUGUUUAUUCCCUGUUCUUAUUGUUUAUUCCCUGCUCUUAUUGUUUAUUCUCUGCUCUUAUUGUUUAUUCCCUCCUCUUAUUGUUUAUUCCCUGUUCUUAUUGUUUAUUCCCUGUUUUUUUUUAUCCUGCCUUUUUUUUAUUCCGUCUUAUUGUUUAUUCCCUGUUCUUAUUGUUU
ensembl:lncRNA